rnacentral:rRNA from 1 species
AUGAACGCUAGCGACAGGCUUUAACACAUGCAAGUCGAGGGGCAGCACAGUGUAGCAAUACACGGGUGGCGACCGGCGCACGGGUGCGUAACACGUAUCCAAUCUGCCCGUUACUCGGGGAUAGCCUUCUGAAAGGAAGAUUAAUACCCGAUGGCAUGUAUUUCCGGCAUCGGAGAUACAUUAAAGAUUUAUCGGUAACGGAUGAGGAUGCGUACGAUUAGCUUGUUGGCGGGGUAACGGCCCACCAAGGCGACGAUCGUUAGGGGUUCUGAGAGGAAGGUCCCCCACACUGGAACUGAGACACGGUCCAGACUCCUACGGGAGGCAGCAGUGAGGAAUAUUGGACAAUGGAUGGAAAUCUGAUCCAGCCAUGCCGCGUGCAGGAUGACGGCCCUAUGGGUCUUAAACUGCUUUUGUAUGGGAGCAAUAAGUUCUACGUGUAGAGUGAUGAGAGUACCAUACGAAUAAGCAUCGGCUAACUCCGUG